rnacentral:lncRNA from 1 species
GUGGCUUUUCAAAGAGAAUCAUGUUAGUGAAUAUCUGUUGUUAGCUUGCUGUUGAUACCAACAUCUCCAACACGUUAGUGGUGGGAAAAAAAAGGAAUUGGCAAAAGUGGAGAUAAGAUUGUAUGGUUUCCAGUCUUUCUCUCAAGGAGUUUGAGUUCCUGCUUCAGAAUGUUCUGAAUCUUUAGUGCCUCUGAAUUACCUACACGACACCAUCUGGGGAUGGAUGAAGUUUUACAGAGUCUUAAGCCUAUGCAAUUUGGGGACUUUUCUAAAGAAAAAGAAUGCAAAAUUAUAAAUAUACUGCUUAUAGGCCUUGAAAAGUGUUUGUGCAAGUUGGGGGCCCCUGAAAAUCAACCUCCAUUAGAUCACCCUUGCCCAUCCGGGCCCCUGAGUGAGUCCUGCAAGGUCCCACUUGUCCAGGACGGAGGUUCAGAUCCUCAUUUAAGGAGAUUCCUGGGUUGGCACAGCACUCUCGACACUGGGAAGCUACAGAGUAGUGCCUUCCCCUGCCCAAGAUGCUCAUCUUUCCUCCGGACCUGUGGCCAAAAUCCCAGCUCUUGACCUUCUCUUCUUUUUCUCUCCGAAUCCUGGCCCCAUUCCCUGGAACCCCGACAGAUGCACUGGUAGGCUGAAAAACGGCCCCCAAAAGAUAUCCUCAUCCUAAUCCUGGAACCUGUGAAUGUUUAUCUUGCGCGGCAAAAAAGGACUAUAGAUGUGAUUAAGUUAAGGAUCUGGAGAUGGGGAGGUUAUCUGAGUGGGCCCUAAAUAUAAUCACGAGGCCUUGCAAGAAAGAGGCAGAGGGAGAUUUCACACAGAGAGAGAAGAGAAGGCAAUGGAGGCAGAGAUUAAAGUGAUGGGCCAAAAGCCAAGAAUCCUGGCAGCCACCAGAAGCUGGAAGCAUCAAGGAAGGUUCUCCCCUAGAGCUUCUGGAGAGACUGUGGCCCUGUGGGCACCUUGACGUGGCCCAGUGAUACUGAUUUUCAACUCUGGCCUCUAGAUUUGUGAAAUAAUAAGUAUCUGGAUUUUAUUGUUUUAGCUUCUUAAAAUUCUGUUAAAAUACUGUCACGUGCUGAACAAUGAUGUUUUGGUCAAUGUUGGACC